GCCACAUGAUGUUAACUGGAUGGAUUGAGCACAUUGUGCCAAGAUGACUCUUAUCUAUCACCCUUGACUGAUGGCU